UGCUGAGGGGGCCGCCAGCUGCAGGAAGGAGCCUGAGGUCCGCAAGAGGAGGCUGCUGAGCAGGACGGGCAGCAGAGCGGCUUCUGGAGUCGCUGCAGAGGGGCUGCCGGUGCCCCCAAGCCGGGACAUUCAGUGAGGACCGAGGCCGAGGACCAGAGGCAUCAAACUUGUGUGCGCUGCAUUGCAGGGUGCAAUCGUAACCAAUGGACCACCACGAAAGUCCCCAAAGGAGGCCACUUAAACACCACUGGAUUAAGAUAUUUGAAAGUUUAACGUUUGUUCCUACUUCUCAGUAGGGCAGAAGCUUGGAAGCAAGAUGCAGACAAUUAAGAAGUUGCAUUAACAAGACACCAGCAGUGCUGUGUGCAUCUUCAACCUCAGAGGCCAUGCUGGGCUAGGGUGUAGGUGCUGGGCUCUGUCUGUGGCCUGAGUCCUUGGUCUCGGGAGCUGCUCCCCCUCCACACCCAGGGGAGUGCUCCAGCGAGGCUGUGACCCCAGCUGACCAGUCAGAGCAUCCGUGCCAAUCAGGCUGAGCAUGCCACGUCAUCAGGAACAACUGUUUCCCCUGAAACUGCUGAAAAGAGUGAAUACUCCUUAAUGUGGGGUGCCUUGGGGGCAGGGGUGACACCAGCUCCGAAGUGUGGAGCUAAGAGAUGAGGGGAAGAGAGAGAGAGAGAGAGACGAAACUCCUGGACCCAGCCCCGCCAGUAGACAAGAUCUCUUGUGGCCUUCAGUUAAUUGGCCAACAGAUUCCUUUUUCUGGCUUUGCUCAAAUUGAUCUGUUGUGGGGAUGGAGAGUGAAUCUUUCACUGCUGGAGGCUCUGCUGCUGGGAGCGUUAGAUGGGCCACCUGCGCUGAGACAACUGCUGGUGUAAAACACAGGAUGUAAAAUAGCUCAUUAAAGUUGUUUAUGUUGA